AGCAGCCGCGGUAAUCCCAGCUCCAAUAGCGUAUAUUAAAGUUGUUGCAGUUAAAAAGCUCGUAGUUGAAUUUCGGGAUCAAUGGGUUGGUCAUGCCCUCGGUAUGUACUGAUCUCAUUGGUUCUCACCUUCUAAGGAACCAUGAUGUCAUUCGUUUGAUGUUGUGGGGAAUUAGGACUGUUACCUUGAAAAAUUAGAGUGUUUAAAGCAGGCUAACGCUUGAAUACAUUAGCAUGGAAUAAUGAAAUAGGACAUCCGAUUCUAUUUUGUUGGUUUCUAGGAUCGAUGUAAUGAUUAAUAGGGAUAGUUGGGGCAUUAGUAUUCAAUUGUCAGAGGUGAAAUUCUUGGAUUUAUUGAAGACUAA
rnacentral:rRNA from 1 species